AAGAGAUUCAAGAAGGUCGAGAUCCUGGGAUUCAACAUAGGAAACCGACAAACCGUACCCAGCGAUUCCUGAUCAUUCUGACUAUGAUAUUGAGAACGCUAAAGCUGUUGUUGAGGAGCUUGAAGAGUUUCUUUAAUGGGCCAGCUACAUUUUCCCUGACACUAGAGAAGUCCUUUCUAGCAUGGAAGCAACACCGAGCAGAACCAUCAAAAAGUAAUCAUCAAGGGAGCAAAUGUUCUUCUGCUGGUAGCAGCUCAGACCUCAGAUUCUCCGGGAAACAAGAUCAACAUUGGCUCCUGGGAUACACCUGUUGGGGAAAUGUACGAUGUUGUGUCGCUUCAGGUUCAAACAAAGUAUUUCAAUUUGUUAGCAGAGACUCGUGUUUAGUCUUGAGUAUCUUCUUCGGUAUAUUUUUAGCUGUCUUGAAACCUGAUCUAAACCCAUGGUCGA